AUGUAUACGUUUUGCGUGGAUUAUGCCUUCGGAAAUAACUUUCGGAUCGGGAUUUUAUCUAGAAACGAACAUGGAUCUAGAGGUUAACGAAGGCAAGUUAAUCGUGAUCCAAAACAUGAUUAGCAUAAACGUGAAAAUAGACGGUACAAUUUACAAACUGAAAUAGGGAGUUAUCUUUGAUUCUCGCACUGGAAACAGUUUACAAGUAUAUCCUACAAUAUGGUCAAAGACAUCUGUAAGGAAUGCAGGAACGGCGUCCAUGCGUGUGGCAGUGAGCCAAAAGGAAACGGUCAGUACCGGCCACCCCCACCCUGUCACCACGGUCACAAUAGAGAGGACACGGUAGCCGCACCCAACACGGACAAAAAAGUUAAUACGUGGGGCUCAUUUAAAAACAAGGACAAUUUCGUAGAACUCCAUUUCCGGUGAACCAUAUGUACUGCCUGUACACAUUUUUUUUUUACAGUUACCAUGUAACUGUUUUGAUUGUUACGUUGUAAAAUGAUCGCGAAUGUGUCAUAAAUGCUAUUUACGGGUAUUUAUUUCUGCAAUGUAGUUUGUGUAUAUUGUAAAGUACAAAGAUUUGUACCAGUUCAUUUUCACAUAUGUGUAGACUAAGCGUAUUAUAUACAUAUAGGAAUGUUUGGUCUCCGGUACAAUUUGUAUUUUAGAAAGUGUUCAUUGCCUGUUGAAAGGCGUUAAAUCAAACAAAAAAUAAAUAUCAAUCAAACUGC